rnacentral:rRNA from 1 species
UUUGUUAANNNAGAUGUGAAAUCCCCGGGCUUAACCUGGGAACUGCAUUUGUGACUGCAAGGCUAGAGUAUGGNNGAGGGGGGUAGAAUUCCACGUGUAGCAGUGAAAUGCGUAGAGAUGUGGAGGAAUACCGAUGGCGAAGGCAGCCCCCUGGGUCAAUACUGACGCUCAUGCACGAAAGCGUGGGGAGCAAACAGGAUUAGAUACCCUGGUAGUCCACGCCCUAAACGAUGUCAACUAGGUGUUGGGGGAGGAGACUUCCUUAGUACCGC